UUUCACGAGCUAUAAGUAUUAGCAACUAAUACAAUUAAUUCAUCAUUUUUAGAGGAUUUUCAGGGCUUGUGGGAAAGCUUGCUCUUUGACUCGGAUGUGAAAAAUCAGUUGCUAAAAUAUGCGGCAACGACACUUCUCUUCUCCGACAGAGGCGUGGAUUUCAACAUCAUCUCGUGAAAUAAAGUUAUCUUAUUGCAUGGUAAGUUAGUUUCCUUGGUAACCAGACGUGAGUCCUUGCGUCAUCGUCCGUCA